rnacentral:rRNA from 1 species
UACGGCCAUAGAAGCGAGAAAACGCCAGAUCCCGUUCGAUCUCUGUAGCUAAGCUCGCUAUCGCUCGAUUAGUACCAAGGUGGGGGACCACUUGGGAAUCCCGAGUGCUGUAGUU